CACACUUCUGCAGUGUGCUAUAUUAAAAUGGAACAAUACAGAAUAGGUUAGCAUGACCCUGGCACAAGGAUGACACACAAAUUCAUGAAACAUUCCAUAUUUUU